rnacentral:misc_RNA from 1 species
GAUGAAGAACGUAGCGAAAUGCGACAAGUAAUGUGAAUUGCAGAAUUCCGUGAAUCAUCGAAUCUUUGAACGCACAUUGCGCCCUCUGGUAUUCUGGCGGGCAUGCCUGUUCGAGCGUCAUUUCAACCAUCAAGCCCCCGGCUUGUGUUGGGGACCUGCGGCUGCCGCAGGCCCUGAAAACCAGUGGCGGGCUCGCUAGUCACUCCGAGCGUAGUAAUACAUCUCGCUCAGGGCGUGCUGCGGGUUCCGGCCGUUAAAAAGCCUUAUUUACCCAAGGUUGACCUCGGAUCAGGUAGGAAGACCCGCUGAACUUAAGCAUAUCAAUAAGCGGAGGA